UGAAAUGGCUGCGGGUAUCCUCGUCCCUGUCCAAACCUUUUUUUCUUCAAAAACCAGGCUUCACGAUCUCAAGAAUUGGCAUUGUGGCAUGGCAUCGAGAAAAGUGGAUAUACGAGGAUUGAGAUCAUACCGCUCGAACCUGAUCAGCGCUCAUACCUGCGUAGGGAAGCCUCCCAGAGUUGUC
rnacentral:ncRNA from 1 species